rnacentral:rRNA from 1 species
UACGAAGGGGGCUAGCGUUGCUCGGAAUGACUGGGCGUAAAGCGCACGUAGGCGGAUUGCUAAGUCAGGGGUGAAAUCCUGGAGCUCAACUCCAGAACUGCCUUUGAUACUGGCGGUCUCGAGUCCGGGAGAGGUGAGUGGAACUGCGAGUGUAGAGGUGAAAUUCGUAGAUAUUCGCAAGAACACCAGUGGCGAAGGCGGCUCACUGGCCCGAUACUGACGCUGAGGCACGAAAGCGUGGGGAGCAAACAGG